UUUAAAUGAAAACUGCUGAGAAAGACCUGGCACAGAAACAGAACCUGAUAGAAGAAUUUUGGAAAUGUGUGGGAACAUACAAGAACUUCUUGGUAGGCAUUGGUGGCACACACCUGAAAGCAGUCUUAAGGGCAUCCAAAAUGUGUGGAAACACAGCUAGAUGCUCUUUGACAAAAUCACAGUGAUGAUUAUGAGAUUAUGUUGAAAUUCUUUUGACAAGUGCCACCCAGUCAGGAAGAAUUUGAGGAGUAGAAUAGAUGAAGGAGUGGUUCAAAAAGCACAUGGAAAGAGACUUUGCCUGAGACAGGAACAAAGCACUAUUUACUGUGAGCCUGGAUCUGAGUCGCUGGAACAGUUUUCCCUUCCAUGAUACCAUAGCUGAGCAUGUCCAUUGCUCUCAAGGGGGAUAUGGUGAGCCUGCUAUCCAACUAAAAAGUAUGCAAGUAGGGUGAUGCGGACUGCAAAAUAGGCCCAAAUCCUCCUAAUGCCUUUUGGUUAGGAGGUGACUUAUUCAAAGUGACCAUCAAAUACAUAUAGGAUGUACAGUCAGGAGGAUUCUGGCAGAUGAAUUGUGACCUACCACAGAGUGCACCCGAGUCUAAAGAAGAGUCAAAAGAGGAUGGUGAUAACUGA
rnacentral:lncRNA from 1 species